CAUCUUCUUUGUCUUCCCCACUGAACUUACGAUAUUGGAGCUUCAACAACCACCGACCAUCUCUCUAUUUCUCCACUGCUACGUUGAGGAGCUUCCUUCCCUAAUAAAUCAAAGCAAGCCAAAUGCAACAAACAAUCCUUUUUCUCCUUUCUACACAAUCGUUUAUGUCAGAACUCUGACUUCACCAGGUAUCACAUCAUCCAUCCCUAAAUUAUAAUGGAGCAACUAGACCUGACAGAAAAUUUCCAGAUCCAGCCGAAAUCAUUGGAUUUUGCUGGAGUUGUUAAAUGAUUAGUGGAGAAACUGAGUAGAUAGUGAAGCUAUUGAUUGCUCCAGUAACGUGAGUUCGUUGGAGAAGAUACCAGCUAUUUGGUUGGUUGUUUUUGGACGUGGCUGGUUCGCCCAAAAAAAAUGAUAAAUGAGAGUGAUGGAUUUCAGAUUUAGCCAAAAAAAAUAAGGUGGUGUUGGGUGAUGGAGGAAAAACAUAGCGGUUAGUAACUGUUGGUUGUUCCGCCAAAAAAAUAAGAUAUUGGGUGAUUGUGGAGUGUUUUUAGGGUUGUUGAAAAGAGAAGAGAAAAUGUUUUUGCUUGUGAGUAAAUUGGGCUGAGGAUGGGGAGAAUAUAUACACUGCUUAUGUCUUUUUUUGUUCUGAAGCUAAGGUAGUGUUCAAGAGAUAGUUUAUAGCUAAGAAUACAAUUUAUAGUUUUCUUUUUAAAUUUUUAGAAAAGUUUCAAAGAACGUCCAUCAUUUAUGAAAUACUAGUUUUAACGCACGUGUGUAUGCCUAGUUCAGAAAUACAUAGUAUCAAUGAGUAUUGGUAUUGAUUUAACUAAUUAUUAGAUAUGUGGAUUUUGAAAAUACAUAUUAUCAUGGUAUAGAAGCGAACUUGAGGAAAGUUUUGAAUAACUAAUUUGAUAUGAAUGAAUAAAAGUACUCAUAAUUAUGAGUCAUGAAAAGAAUUUUAGAAUUCUAUCAUCUGAAUGUGCAAAAUUUGUUGUAGUAUUAUUUUGAAUGACUAGAUUUACAUUAAAGAAUAAUAUAGUCAUCCAAAUGUACUAAGACAAUCAAUGAAAAGUACCAAUGAGAACUCAAGAUUUCACAUGGUAGCGUAUUAGUUUUUGCAGCUUGCCAUUAACUUUUGUAGCGAAAUCAUUUUUGUUUUCGUCAUUUUCUUCAUAGUUGAGAAGCGCCUCAUCAUUAUAAGAACCAUUAUAUCAUAUUUUCUCAAAUUUAUCUUUAUUGUUAUAACUACACAUUAAAUAUAUGUCAUAUUCAGUAAUCAAAGAUCAGUACUUUAAAAUAGAAAAGAAAAAGAAUGAAGAGUCGUAAAAUUAUAUGGAUUUUAUUUUGGUUCCAUAGUUUAAAAAUAUUUUUUUAUUAUAUAUUUUAUAAAUCCCUAAUUAUUUAUUCAUCUAAUAUCUUUUACCGUAUAUUUUAUUUGAAAAUGUACGUGACAUUCCAACAUAUUUUUUUUGGUUCGAAUUUGGCCGAAAAAAUGAGGUGGUGUUGAGUUCAUCUAAUAUCUGUUUGAUGUUAACGAAUUCAAAAAAAGUGAUCAUCACGUAUUUUUUCACAUGUUAUAAAAUUGUGUUUGAUAUGUGUAAGCAAUGUUAUAUACAUUAAAAAAAGAUUAAUAUAUUUCUUUAAAAAUGUUUUUCAUGUUCAAUAUACAUUUCAUACAAAGAUGAGCUAUGAAAUAUUAUUGCCAUGAUUAUAUCUAUUUAAUUAUGCUUAUUUUUUUUACGUAAUUAAUAUCUUUCAAUGCAUUUUAUUACUGUAUAUAGCACAUCCUUUAAUUUAUUACGAUUUAUAGCUUAUCUUUAUCCUUAAUAACGAUUUGUCCUAUUACUUUCUUUUACUUCUCCACUUCUUCACUGCAUCACUUCUCUACCUUCAUCUCUGCCCUCUCCCGUCCUCUUUGUCUUCUCCAGUGAACUUAUGACGUUGGAGCUUCAACAACCACCGAUCAUCUCUCUGUUUCUCCACUGCUCCGAUGAGGAGCUUCAUUCUCUGAUAAAUUAGAGCAAACCAAAAACAACGACCAAUCCCUUUUCUCUUUUCUACACAAUCGUCUAUCUCAGAGCUCCGACUUUGCCAGCUACCACACCAUCCAUGCCUAAAUUAUAACGGAGCAACUAGAUCUAACAGAAAUUUUCCAGAUCUAGCCGAAAUCUUUGGAUUUUGCUGGUGUUGUUGAAUGAUAGUAGAGAAAUUGAGUAGAUAGUGAAGUUCUUGAUUGCUCCAGUAACGUGAGUUCGUCGGAGAAGAUACGGGCUAUUUGGUUGUUUGUUGUUUGGACGUGGCUGGUUCGCUAGAAAAAAUGAAAAAUGGGAGUGAUGGAUUUCAGAUUUGGCCAAAAAAAUAAGGUGCUGUUGGGUGAUGGAGAAAAAAUAGAGCGGUUACUGACUGUUGGUUGCUUGGCCAAAAAAAUAAGGUGGUGUUGGGUGAUUGUGGAGAGUUUUUAGGGUUGUUGAAACCAUAUAUUUUACUCUAUAAAUUACAUGACAUUCCAACAUAUUAAUAGAUAAUGAGAAAUCAAACUAAAUUGGACAAUACAUGUGAUAUAUAAGUAAUUCGUUUGGAAAAUAUUGUUGUUGGAGUAUAUGAUCCUCCAACAACAGUGUACAACAUAGUGUUAAGGAAAACUACUGUGUUGUUGGAUUAAUGUCUGGUGCCAUACUAUAGAAGUACCAUGUAACGACAAUUUUAUAGCUUAGUUAAUUAUUAUUUUUUUUGUACCCUAUAAACUUUGGAAGGAAAGAAUUCAAUUGAAUAUUAUAUUUGAAAUAAUUAUUUAUUUAUUGAGUGUUAUAAUUGUGAUCAACAAUAUAUAUUUUAUAAAAUAAAUAAAUUUAAGUGAAAAGUUGAAAGCAAAUCUCUAAUAAUUGUGUUAAAAGUAU
rnacentral:lncRNA from 1 species